rnacentral:lncRNA from 1 species
AGUGUGUGGUGGUACACCACUGUAAUCCCGGGCUGAGGCAGGAGGAUCACAAGUUUGAGGCCAGCCUCAGCAAUUUGGCGAGGCCUUAAGCAACUAGGUGAGACCCUGUCUCAAAAUAAAAAUAGAAAGGGCUGGGGGUGUGACUCAGUGGUUAAGUGCCCCAGGGUUCAAUUUCCAGUUAAAAAAAAGAAAAGAAGAAGAAAAAAUACACUGGAGGGUGAGAAAUUUCUAGCUUGUAAUUCUUGGACCAAGGAUUAGUGGGCAAAGGCAGAAUUGUGAAAAUGGUAAACACUGAAUAUCUUUCUUUCCUCCCUCCUUCUUUCCAUCCAAAAACAACUAUUUCCCCAUAUUCUUGUCCCAUGUGCUGUAGAAUUCUAACAAAGUGUAAAUUCUGGUUUUGUUGUUUGUUUACUGGAGCUUGAAUCCAAGAGCACUUUACCACUGAGCUACAUCCCCAGACCUUUUGAUUUUUAUGACAGUCUCACCAAGUUGCCCAGGCUGGCCUCAAACUUGCAAUACUCCUGACUCAGCCUCCCAAGUCACUGGUGUGUACCACCAUGCCUGACAAGGAACAAACUCUGAAUGAAAGAAAAUAGUAACUCUGCCUGAGUCAUUCACAUUGCAUUUCUAUACCUAGAACUGUGCUUAGCCCACAGUAGUACUUGGAAAAUGCUUGUUGAAUGACUUGAUGAAUAAAAUUAAAACAGGGCAUAGUGCAGGUAGAUUCAUUUUUAAGACUGUGGAAAACUGAGGUACACCAUUCUGAAGUGGUAGGGGUACUGUGGAACUCCCGCCAUUAAACAAAGCUGCCAGUAAGGGUGAAAGCCAUUCAUGUAAGUCACAUCUUAAUGGCAGGAUAUUGAAGGUAGCAGUGUAUUCAGUUUUCAAAAGAAAAGACCAUAGUGACAAGCAAAGACAAUGGGUCCUCUUGGGGGCCCUAUAAAUCCUGCCAGGGCUUGGGGUGUAGCUCAGUGUAAGCAUGUGCAAGGCUGCCUGAGUUCCCCUUGAGUUCUCACGGGAUUCAGACAGUAUAUUUUGGAGAUAGAAGCCCAGUGGAAGUGAAUUUGGGAGAGAAGGUGGAUUUGGGAAGAGAACGUGGAUUUCCCCAGAACGUGAUUGUAGACGGCUGGUGUGAGUUCGGGAAUAAAGAGUUGC